CUCUAGCCCCGAUGGGAGGGAAUAUCCUUUUUUGUUCCGAUUUUUUUCGGGACAAAAAAGAUAGGAAGGACAGCGGGAACCCAU
rnacentral:sRNA from 1 species